AGAGUUUGAUCAUGGCUCAGGAUGAACGCUAGCUACAGGCUUAACACACGCAAGUCGAGGGGCAGCAUGUUGGUUGCUUGCAACCAAUGAUGGCGACCGGCGCACGGGUGAGUAACGCGUAUCCAACCUACCCUUGUCCAUCGGAUAACCCGUCGAAAGGCGGCCUAACACGAUAUGCGGUUCUCAGCAGGCAUCUAACGAGAACGAAAUGUGAAGGAGAAGGAUGGGGAUGCGUCUGAUUAGCUUGGUUGGCGGGGUAACGGCCACCAAGGCGACGAUCAGUAGGGGUUCUGAGAGGAAGGUCCCCCACAUUGGAACUGAGACACGGUCCAAACUCCUAACGGGAGGCA
rnacentral:rRNA from 1 species